rnacentral:rRNA from 1 species
UUAAGCCUACGGGAGGCAGCAGUGGGGAAUAUUGGGCAAUGGGCGCAAGCCUGACCCAGCAACGCCGCGUGAAGGAAGAAGGCUUUCGGGUUGUAAACUUCUUUUAAGAGGGAAGAGUAGAAGACGGUACCUCUUGAAUAAGCCACGGCUGACUACGUGCCAGCAGCCGCGGUAAUACGUAGGUGGCAAGCGUUGUCCGGAUUUACUGGGUGUAAAGGGCGUGUAGCCGGGUUGACAAGUCAGAUGUGAAAUCCUGCGGCUUAACCGCAGAACUGCAUUUGAAACUGUUGAUCUUGAGUACUGGG